GGUUAAGCGACUAAGCGUACACGGUGGAUGCCCUGGCAGUCAGAGGCGAUGAAGGACGUGCUAAUCUGCGAUAAGCGUCGGUAAGGUGAUAUGAACCGUUAUAACCGGCGAUUUCCGAAUGGGGAAACCCAGUGUGAUUCGUCACACUAUCAUUAACUGAAUCCAUAGGUUAAUGAGGCGAACCGGGGGAACUGAAACAUCUAAGUACCCCGAGGAAAAGAAAUCAACCGAGAUUCCCCCAGUAGCGGCGAGCGAACGGGGAGCAGCCCAGAGCCUGAAUCAGUGUGUGUGUUAGUGGAAGCGUCUGGAAAGGCGUGCGAUACAGGGUGACAGCCCCGUACACAAAAAUGCACAUGCUGUGAGCUCGAUGAGUAGGGCGGGACACGUGGUAUCCUGUCUGAAUAUGGGGGGACCAUCCUCCAAGGCUAAAUACUCCUGACUGACCGAUAGUGAACCAGUACCGUGAGGGAAAGGCGAAAAGAACCCCGGCGAGGGGAGUGAAAAAGAACCUGAAACCGUGUACGUACAAGCAGUGGGAGCACAGAGCAAUCUGUGUGACUGCGUACCUUUUGUAUAAUGGGUCAGCGACUUAUAUUCUGUAGCAAGGUUAACCGAAUAGGGGAGCCGAAGGGAAACCGAGUCUUAACUGGGCGUUAAGUUGCAGGGUAUAGACCCGAAACCCGGUGAUCUAGCCAUGGGCAGGUUGAAGGUUGGGUAACACUAACUGGAGGACCGAACCGACUAAUGUUGAAAAAUUAGCGGAUGACUUGUGGCUGGGGGUGAAAGGCCAAUCAAACCGGGAGAUAGCUGGUUCUCCCCGAAAGCUAUUUAGGUAGCGCCUCGUGAAUUCAUCUCCGGGGGUAGAGCACUGUUUCGGCAAGGGGGUCAUCCCGACUUACCAACCCGAUGCAAACUGCGAAUACCGGAGAAUGUUAUCACGGGAGACACACGGCGGGUGCUAACGUCCGUCGUGAAGAGGGAAACAACCCAGACCGCCAGCUAAGGUCCCAAAGUCAUGGUUAAGUGGGAAACGAUGUGGGAAGGCCCAGACAGCCAGGAUGUUGGCUUAGAAGCAGCCAUCAUUUAAAGAAAGCGUAAUAGCUCACUGGUCGAGUCGGCCUGCGCGGAAGAUGUAACGGGGCUAAACCAUGCACCGAAGCUGCGGCAGCGACACUAUGUGUUGUUGGGUAGGGGAGCGUUCUGUAAGCCUGCGAAGGUGUGCUGUGAGGCAUGCUGGAGGUAUCAGAAGUGCGAAUGCUGACAUAAGUAACGAUAAAGCGGGUGAAAAGCCCGCUCGCCGGAAGACCAAGGGUUCCUGUCCAACGUUAAUCGGGGCAGGGUGAGUCGACCCCUAAGGCGAGGCCGAAAGGCGUAGUCGAUGGGAAACAGGUUAAUAUUCCUGUACUUGGUGUUACUGCGAAGGGGGGACGGAGAAGGCUAUGUUGGCCGGGCGACGGUUGUCCCGGUUUAAGCGUGUAGGCUGGUUUUCCAGGCAAAUCCGGAAAAUCAAGGCUGAGGCGUGAUGACGAGGCACUACGGUGCUGAAGCAACAAAUGCCCUGCUUCCAGGAAAAGCCUCUAAGCAUCAGGUAACAUCAAAUCGUACCCCAAACCGACACAGGUGGUCAGGUAGAGAAUACCAAGGCGCUUGAGAGAACUCGGGUGAAGGAACUAGGCAAAAUGGUGCCGUAACUUCGGGAGAAGGCACGCUGAUAUGUAGGUGAAGCGACUUGCUCGUGGAGCUGAAAUCAGUCGAAGAUACCAGCUGGCUGCAACUGUUUAUUAAAAACACAGCACUGUGCAAACACGAAAGUGGACGUAUACGGUGUGACGCCUGCCCGGUGCCGGAAGGUUAAUUGAUGGGGUCAGCGCAAGCGAAGCUCUUGAUCGAAGCCCCGGUAAACGGCGGCCGUAACUAUAACGGUCCUAAGGUAGCGAAAUUCCUUGUCGGGUAAGUUCCGACCUGCACGAAUGGCGUAAUGAUGGCCAGGCUGUCUCCACCCGAGACUCAGUGAAAUUGAACUCGCUGUGAAGAUGCAGUGUACCCGCGGCAAGACGGAAAGACCCCGUGAACCUUUACUAUAGCUUGACACUGAACAUUGAGCCUUGAUGUGUAGGAUAGGUGGGAGGCUUUGAAGUGUGGACGCCAGUCUGCAUGGAGCCGACCUUGAAAUACCACCCUUUAAUGUUUGAUGUUCUAACGUUGACCCGUGAUCCGGGUUGCGGACAGUGUCUGGUGGGUAGUUUGACUGGGGCGGUCUCCUCCUAAAGAGUAACGGAGGAGCACGAAGGUUGGCUAAUCCUGGUCGGACAUCAGGAGGUUAGUGCAAUGGCAUAAGCCAGCUUGACUGCGAGCGUGACGGCGCGAGCAGGUGCGAAAGCAGGUCAUAGUGAUCCGGUGGUUCUGAAUGGAAGGGCCAUCGCUCAACGGAUAAAAGGUACUCCGGGGAUAACAGGCUGAUACCGCCCAAGAGUUCAUAUCGACGGCGGUGUUUGGCACCUCGAUGUCGGCUCAUCACAUCCUGGGGCUGAAGUAGGUCCCAAGGGUAUGGCUGUUCGCCAUUUAAAGUGGUACGCGAGCUGGGUUUAGAACGUCGUGAGACAGUUCGGUCCCUAUCUGCCGUGGGCGCUGGAGAACUGAGGGGGGCUGCUCCUAGUACGAGAGGACCGGAGUGGACGCAUCACUGGUGUUCGGGUUGUCAUGCCAAUGGCACUGCCCGGUAGCUAAAUGCGGAAGAGAUAAGUGCUGAAAGCAUCUAAGCACGAAACUUGCCCCGAGAUGAGUUCUCCCUGACUCCUUGAGAGUCCUGAAGGAACGUUGAAGACGACGACGUUGAUAGGCCGGGUGUGUAAGCGCAGCGAUGCGUUGAGCUAACCGGUACUAAUGAACCGUGAGGCUUAACCUU
rnacentral:rRNA from 1 species